CUGGAAUCAAGUUCCUCUUAAAACUUUCUGAUCCAGAGACUCAAAUUCCCAACUAUUAUCUAGACCAUAUCAUCCCUUUAAAACUGCUAUCUGUCUACAACCCAGGUGGUUUUGAGGAAACAAAGACACUGUGGAUGACUCACCCUUGGUUGUGAAGGGGAAGAGCCUAGACGUCUGGAGGGAGCUUGGAGUAGAACUGCUGCUUCUUUGUGUGGAACGUAGCCAAAGGUUCAGGCUUCUGAUUAGGAUACCAACUGGAGGCCUUCCUAGAGGUAGUAGAGAUGCAGGCUUUUAGCUGGAAGAUGGAAAUUGUGCAGCACCUGGAGGCCACGUGUUGACUGGAGCAUGAAAGAGUGUUUGUUGAAGAACACAUGACACUGCUAAUGAAUAGAUGAGAGAAAACAAAUUUGGAUUUCAGUUCCAGGUGCUACUGGACAACGUUUUUCUUUUUCAUCAACUUUCAGAUCCCUGCCUUUUUCCAUACAGUGUAACAGAAUCACUGUGUCAGGUUUUUUGUGGUACAAUUAGUAUAAACUGUACAGCAUGGACUGGCAUUGCCUCGCUCUCCUCCCACCAACUGUUCAGCUUCUAACACCGUGUGGGGUCUGCCAGCAUGAAACCCGCUGAAUGAAUGGGAGGUUGAACGUGUAGGUGAAAAUGUACUUUCUUUCCGUACAGUGAGAAAUCACACGAAGCUUGACUUGCACAGCAAAUUAAUUGAUUUUGCUUUACAGGCGGGUUGUGAGCGAUCGCUUGUACAGACUGAACAAACAAGCAAACAUUUAAGCACAAGGUAAAGACCAGGUGGAAUACAUGAGGUAAUCUGACAGGAAUCAGGGAAUUAAACCAAUGGAGAACAGACAGACAGAAACCAAGCAUGAAUUAAACAACAGACAACAGACAACAACAGACCAAGGCACAGAUAUAGGAUCAUGACAUUUAUUUACCACACAUAGUUUUUGGCAACUGCAAAUUGUAAGACAUUGAAAAUUCAUAAUGGCUUUUUUUUUCAAA